rnacentral:ncRNA from 2 species
CCAAUAGCGUAUAUUAAAGUUGUUGCAGUUAAAAAGCUCGUAGUUGAAUUUCGAGAUCAAUUUGUUGGUCGUGCCUCGGUACGUACUGGCAAUUUUGAUUUCUCCCUUCUGAAGAACCAUGAUGUCAUUAAUUUGGUGUCAUGGGGAAUCAGGACCGUUACUUUGAAAAAAUUAGAGUGUUUAAAGCAGGCUCGCGCUUGAAUACAUUAGCAUGGAAUAAUGAAAUAGGACGUUUGAUUCUAUUUUGUUGGUUUCUAGGAUCGACGUAAUGAUUAAUAGGGAUAGUUGGGGGCAUUAGUAUUCAAUUGUCAGAGGUGAAAUUCUUGGAUUUAUUGAAGACUAACUACUGCGAAAGCAUUUGCCAAGGAUGUUUUCAUUAAUCAAGAACGAAAGUUAGGGGAUCGAAGACGAUCAGAUACCGUCGUAGUCUUAACCAUAAACUAUGCCGACUAGGGAUCGGAUGAUGUUAAUUUUUUAAUGACUCAUUCGGCGCCUUACGGGAAACCAAAGUGUUUGGGUC